rnacentral:lncRNA from 1 species
AUAAUAUAAAAUAAUAUCAUAUAUGUAGUAUCAUAGGGUGUGUGUGUGCGGGCGUGCAUGCCUGAAGGUGAUUUCUUCAAAUACAUCAUUAAACUUGUCUUCCCUAAAUAAGUUCUUACUUGUCUUUAGGAUAUAGUUUUUGACUGAUAUAGGAAGUGAAGUAUAUUCCUUUUCUUUUCUAAAUCUAAUCUGUCGUUUUCUUUUAUCAGCCAGACUCGUGUCUCGUCCUCAUUACUGUUCCCCUCAUCAGCUGAAGCUGUUUUUUCCCAGUAAUGACCAGUCUUAAACAUUUGCAUCACUCAACAAAUAGCCAUUCUCACUAUUUGUCUUGCCUGAUUCACUUGUCAUAUAUACUCAGCGUUUGAUUUAUUUUAAAUGUGACCCCACCGAGAACAUUGUUCUGGAGAGCUUUUUCUGAUGCCAUUAGGCAACAACAGUGUAGCGUUAUCAGUCAUCACUUCAAUAUUAUUAAAAUGUUGGCUGCAACUUGACUUCUUUAAUUGAAUCUAGCAUUUUCUAGGCUGGCGUUUCUUAAUGGAGGUUGCAGGUCAGACUUGUCCACGAACGUGUAUUAAUACACAGGAGUCCAGGUACUGCUCUGGACUUUCUGAAUCUCUUUACUUGAUAUUCUUGAUAUUAAAAAAAGUAUGACUCAGGAUUAUUACAUUAAAUCUUAAAGUAUUUUCCUCUAUAGAGAUUAUCUCCAUUCAUUUGUAUAAAUCAGAUCUAAUAUUUACAGGCUAAUUUGAAAAUAGGUUUAAUCAUUAUCCUUGGAGACAUUUUGUCUAAAGUUUGCUUGGAAUGGCUUUCUUCUCUUUGUUUUGUGUGCCAUAGAAACAGUCAGACUUCCUCUUCAGUUGCAGUAUUCUCAUCACAAGCCCUCUUCAGACCUUUCACAUUUGAAAAUUAUAACUAAUAUUUGCCUCCAACAAAGUGUCCGUUUGCUUUUAUUAGUUCCUAGUGAUUAUCAGUGAAUAUUUUGCAUAUUUGAAUUAGGUAAAAUUUCAAAGUAUUAAUAAAAAGCAUGAGUAACAAAAUGCCAGAUUUAAAACAUAGAAUUAGAUCUCUUGUAGCCUUGAUGCCAGUAAUCAAUAGAUUUUCCUAAUUAAAAAGGAUUGGGCAAAUUCCCUAAGGACUUCUGAUGACUUCUGUAGGUACAGCC